rnacentral:rRNA from 1 species
UUUUAAUAUAUCUAGUUUUUUAAGAAAUUAAUUUAAUUUAGAUAUUUUAUUUUUAAUAUUUUAAUUUUAUUAAUUUAUUAUAAUUAAAUAUUAAUAUUUUAAGGGAUGAGCUUUAAAAUAAAAUUUUAUAAAUAAUUUUAUUAAUUAAUAAUUGUAAGCUUAGAAUUAGUUAUCAAUAGAAAUUAUGUUUUAAUUUAUUUUUUUUUUUAAUAUUAUUUAAUAUUUAUUUUAUUUUUUUUUAUUAAAAUAUAAAUUUUAAUUUUAUAAAUUUAGUAAUAAUGAUAAAAUUAGUAAAUAUAUUAAUAAUAAUAUGUCAAUAAUGAUUGGUUUUUAUAAUUAAUUCGGCAAAUUUUGUGUUCACCUGUUUAUCAAAAACAUGUCUUUUUGAAUUUUAUAUAAAGUCUGACCUGCCCACUGAAUUAAUUUUAAAGGGCCGCAGUAUUUUGACUGUGCAAAGGUAGCAUAAUCAUUAGUCUUUUAAUUGAAGGCUGGUAUGAAUGGUUGGAUGAGAUACAAGCUGUGUCAUAAAAAUUAAAAUUUGAAUUUAACUUUUUAGUUAAAAGGCUAAAAUAAUUUUAAAAGACGAGAAGACCCUAUAGAGCUUUAUAUAAUAAAUAUUUAAAUUAUUAAGAUUUAUUAAAUUUAAUUUUUAUAUUAUAUUUUGUUGGGGUGACAAUAAAAUUUAUAAAACUUUUAUUUUUAUUUAACAUUAAUUUAUGUUUAAAUGAUCCAUUUUUAUUGAUUAUAAAUUUAAGUUACCUUAGGGAUAACAGCGUAAUUUUUUUUGAGAGUUCUUAUCGACAAAAAAGAUUGCGACCUCGAUGUUGGAUUAAGAGUAAUUUUGGGUGUAGCAGUUCAAAGUUUAAGUCUGUUCGACUUUUAAAUUCUUACAU